rnacentral:sRNA from 1 species
GUGCUCUGGGUCCCCUGGCUCAGCUGCAGCGAGACUUGAAGGUGUUGGGUACUUAUGAGUCUCCAAGCUGCAUCCGGUCUUGGGAUGUCGAUCCUGGCGUCUGCAACCUUGAUGAACAGCUCAAGGUCUUUGUGUCCCGACACUCUGCCACCUUCUCCAGCAUUGUGAAAGGCCAGCGGAGCCUGCACCACCGUGGAGACAACCUGGAGACCCUGGUCCUCCUGAACCCAUCAGACAAGUCCCUGUGUGAUGAGCUCCGGAACCUUCUGUUGGACCCUGCCUCUCACAAGCUACUGGUGUUGGCUGGGCCCUGCCUGGAGGAGACGGGGGAGCUGCUGCUACAGACAGGGGGCUUCUCGCCUCACCACUUCCUCCAGGUCCUGAAGGACAGAGAGAUCCGGGACAUCCUGGCCACCACGCCCCCACCUGUGCAGCCGCCCAUACUCACCAUCACCUGCCCCACCUUCGGUGACUGGGCUCAGCUGGCACCCGCUGUGCCCGGCCUUCAGGGGGCGCUCCGGCUCCAGCUGCGGCUGAACCCC